rnacentral:rRNA from 1 species
UGGGGAAUCUUGGACAAUGGGGGCAACCCUGAUCCAGCCAUGCCGCGUGAGUGAUGAAGGCCUUAGGGUCGUAAAGCUCUUUCGCCUGUGAAGAUAAUGACGGUAGCAGGUAAAGAAACCCCGGCUAACUCCGUGCCAGCAGCCGCGGUAAUACGGAGGGGGUUAGCGUUGUUCGGAAUUACUGGGCGUAAAGCGCACGUAGGCGGACCAGAAAGUUGGGGGUGAAAUCCCGGGGGCUCAACCCCGGAACUGCCUCCAAAACUAUUGGUCUAGAGUUCGAGAGAGGUGAGUGGAAUUCCAAGUGUAGAGGUGAAAUUCGUAGAUAUUUGGAGGAACACCAGUGGCGAAGGCGGCUCACUGGCUCGAUACUGACGCUGAGGUGCGAAAGUGUGGGGAGCAAACAGGAUUAGAUACCCUGGGUACGUCACACCGUAAAACGAUGAAUGCCAGUCGUCGGGUAGCAUGCUAUUCGGUGACACACCUAACGGAUUAAGCAUUCC